rnacentral:rRNA from 1 species
CGAACGCUGGCGGCGUGCUUAACACAUGCAAGUCGAACGGUAAGGCCCUUCGGGGUACACGAGUGGCGAACGGGUGAGUAACACGUGGGUGAUCUGCCCUGCACUUUGGGAUAAGCCUGGGAAACUGGGUCUAAUACCGAAUAGGACCAUGGACUUCACGGUUUGUGGUGGAAAGCUUUUGCGGUGUGGGAUGGGCCCGCGGCCUAUCAGCUUGUUGGUGGGGUAAUGGCCUACCAAGGCGACGACGGGUAGCCGGCCUGAGAGGGUGUCCGGCCACACUGGGACUGAGAUACGGCCCAGACUCCUACGGGAGGCAGCAGUGGGGAAUAUUGCACAAUGGGCGCAAGCCUGAUGCAGCGACGCCGCGUGAGGGAUGACGGCCUUCGGGUUGUAAACCUCUUUCAGCACGGACGAAGCGCAAGUGACGGUACGUGCAGAAGAAGCACCGGCCAACUACGUGCCAGCAGCCGCGGUAAUACGUAGGGUCCGAGCGUUGUCCGGAAUUACUGGGCGUAAAGAGCUCGUAGGUGGUUUGUCGCGUUGUUCGUGAAAUCUCACAGCUUAACUGUGAGCGUGCGGGCGAUACGGGCAGACUGGAGUACUGCAGGGGAGACUGGAAUUCCUGGUGUAGCGGUGGAAUGCGCAGAUAUCAGGAGGAACACCGGUGGCGAAGGCGGGUCUCUGGGCAGUAACUGACGCUGAGGAGCGAAAGCGUGGGGAGCGAACAGGAUUAGAUACCCUGGUAGUCCACGCCGUAAACGGUGGGUACUAGGUGUGGGUUUCCUUCCUUGGGAUCCGUGCCGUAGCUAACGCAUUAAGUACCCCGCCUGGGGAGUACGGCCGCAAGGCUAAAACUCAAAGAAAUUGACGGGGGCCCGCACAAGCGACGGAGCAUGUGAUUAAUUCGAUGCAAGACGAA